GGCUCAAGCGAUCCUUCUGUCUCAGCCUCCCGAGUAGCUGGGACUACAGGCAUGUGCCACCAUGCCCAGCUAAACAAGAACACCUUUAAAAACAUAUUGAGUUUGCAAAAGAAAAUCCUCCUGAAGCCAGAACAAAAUGAGCAUGCAUUGAGGGAGCUCUGCCUCCUGCCUCUCAGUUCAGUCAAAUGAGAACAUGAUACUUGAUGCUGCUCCAGCCAUAUUGUGACCACAAGCUGGCAAGCCUAAAAGUGACAAGCCGCCAUGCUGAGGAUGAGAACAGAAAGGCAGAAAGAACCUGGGACUGGGAUGACAUCCUUAAACUGCUACCCCAAACCUGGAUCUGCCUGCCUCCAGACAGCUUUUUCUGAGAUAUUCUGCGGUAGUGCUGGCUUUAGCUAACGGCAUCUUAGAUCCGAUGGAAAAGGGCACCCAGAGGUAACCGCAGUGGACAGUUCCCUGCCAGCUCACUCUCACAAUAUUGCCUCCAGUGUGUUGCGAGUCUUCUCACUUUCUGCUGAAAAUAAGUCCGCCUGGACAAGCACAGCACAGCUUGGCAGUGUGGGGGUUAACAGCCCCAGGGACAGCCUUCAGCUACCAGUGGGGUCUUGCUAAGUUGCCCAGGCUGGAAUGUAGUGUCUAUUCGCAGGCAUGAUCAUAAUCGGCCUCAAGUGAUCCUCUUGCCUCAGCUUCCCAGGCUAGAAAGUAUCCUUCAUAUAAUGAAGACUCGAAUUGCAUCUUAUCAUCAUGUCCCGGAACACUUCUCUGAAAGAAUAUGAUGUCACUUUUUGUAUCAUUGAUACUAUCAGGAGGACUGAUUUCCUAUAGAGAGAAAACAACAUCGCCUAAUUAUUUUAGGACAUGAAUAAUUUGUAUGUAUGCAGUUUAUUUCGAAGUUAUUACUGAAUAGAAUGAAAGCAGUUUUCCCCCCAAGAGUUAAUUAAAAAAAAAUCUGAAUAUGGCAAUACUGAUUUUCUCUCCUUCUUAUAAUUCCUAAUCUUCUAUUGUCCCUGUCUACUCUCUUCCCAUCAGGAAACGCACAUUCAGUUCCAGGCCUCUAGUCUUCCCCUAUCCAUCAGAAAGCUUCCUUCUCUCCUCUCCCACUGAGUGGAGUCCCCAUCUGUUCAAGAUGAAGUUGAGUUCUAGCAAAACCCACAACUUUUUGUCAAUUCCUGUCUUCUCCAACUAUUCACAGCUAAAGACAUUGAUGACCUCCUCCCAUAAACCUAGGCUAGCUCUAAUUUCUGAGCCUAUUGUGAGAGAGGCAGAAAUUCUCAGGAUUGUCAGCUCUUUCUUUCAGUGGAGCUGGGAGCUGGGAGCUGAAACUUACUGUAAAUAGACCCAGUACUUGUUCUAGGGCUAGGUCCUGGGUUUCUGCACAGCCCUGAUGUAUUGGCUCAGUCAGGAGCCCUAGAUUCUUUCUCCUAGCCAAGCACUCCAAUUCCAUAGGAGUCUUGAAUUUCGGUCCUCAAUGUAAUCUAGUUAGCUGGGCCCUGUCCUGGAAGGCCAAAUGCUGAUUCCUGUACCUUUCAGCCACAGGAUAGGGUCUUAUAAAGAAAGAAUGGUUAAAGUACUUAAAACUAUAAUUCUGCUGGUCUCCAACUGCUAGUAUUGCCUGCAUUUUUUCUAUUAUUGCAUAAUGUCUACUUUUCGGUGUAGGCCAGAAAAUGUGGGGAUCACCCAAAAUUCUUCCAGGUUAAUCCUGGAGCCAGUAGACAUUUUGGAUUUAAUUUUGGCCCCAUGACAGCAAAGAUUCUCAUGAUCCUAGGGGCUGACAGAGAAACCUCUAGAAUUAAAAUAGCAUUUCAUCCUCCUCCUAAGAGGGCUGAAAGACUCUGAGAGGUACCUCCAACUUCUCAAUCAAUUAUGGAAUUGACAGUCAUAACUAUUCACAUUUGUUCUUUGCCAACAAGUGUAGGUCCUUAAAUAAUAACUAGAAUAAACUAGUUCCCUCGUUGCUAUCUGCUUCUGCAGCUGCCUAAAUAUUCCACAAUUUAGUGAAAGAUCUGAAGCUGUGGGACUCAAUUUGAGACUAAGCUGAAGUCUAAUGUGUGAAAAUAAUCCUUAGCUAAAGCUUCAAAACUCUAGUAACAUUACAGAGGAAGAUGAAUGUGUUAAUUCAAACCUAACAUGGAAAAUUAUAGUUGAAGGUGGGAUCAUGGAUAGGUAGAAGAGAUGAUCUCUUUAAUCACAGUUCAAUGUCACAUUUUAGAAUAGAGGCAAGAAAAUCCUGAGGCAGUAGCUUUCCUUAGUUUUGAUGUUGAUCACUUGUAGCACUUAUGGAGAAGGCACACAGCACGUGGAUGUGGAAACAGUUCUGAUGGCCCUGGAGAACUCUCAACUUGGCAAGGCCUACCUGAGUGCUCCAAAGGCCAAAGGAUUUUCUUUCUUUCUUUCUUUCUUUCUUUCUUUCUUUCUUUCUUUCUUUCUUUCUUUCUUUCUUUCUUUCUUUCUUUCUUUCUUUCUUUCUUUCUUUCUUUCUUUCUUUCUUUCUUUCUUUCAUCAGGAAGAGCUGAAUCUGAACCUAGGGAAAGUUAAGCUUGACCUAACAUCUGUUCUUUUCCCCCCUCCCGAAUACACUAGAAAGUCUGAGAGAAGCCUGGCCAAUCCUGGAUGUAUAUAUAAGAAACAGACACUGACAGUAGCCUCUUUUUUUCUGUUUUUGUUUUUGAGACAGAGUCUUACUCUGUCACACAGGCUAGAGU